GAUGAACGCUGGCGGCGGGCCUAAUACAUGCAAGUCGAGCGAACAGACGAGGAGCUUGCUCCUCUGACGUUAGCGGCGGACGGGUGAGUAACACGUGGAUAACCUACCUAUAAGACUGGGAUAACUUCGGGAAACCGGAGCUAAUACCGGAUAAUAUAUUGAACCGCAUGGUUCAAUAGUGAAAGACGGUUUUCCUGUCACUUAUAGAUGGAUCCGCGCCGCAUUAGCUAGUUGGUAAGGUAACGGCUUACCAAGGCGACGAUGCGUAGCCGACCUGAGAGGAUGAUCAGCCACACUGGAACUGAGACACGGUCCAGACUCCUACGGGAGGCAGCAGUAGGGAAUCUUCCGCAAUGGGCGAAAGCCUGACGGAGCCACGCCGCGUGAGUGAUGAAGGUCUUCGGAUCGUAAAACUCUGUUAUUAGGGAAGAACAAAUGUGUAAGUAACUCUGCACGUCUUGACGGUACCUAAUCAGAAAGCCACGGCUAACUACGUG
rnacentral:rRNA from 1 species